GACGAACGUUGGCGGCGUGCCUAAUACAUGCAAGUCAACUGAAAUACCGGUAGCAAUACUGGUAUGGAGGUGGCGCACGGGUGAGUAACACGUAGGUAAUCUGCCUUCAGGUCUGACAUAACCCAUCGAAAGGUGAGCUAAUAUCAGAUGAUGCAGCGGCUUGACAUCAAGACAGUUGUUAAAGCUUCGGCGCCUGAAGAUGAGCCUGCGUCUGAUUAGCUAGUUGGCGGGGUAACGGCCACCAAGGCUGCGAUCAGUAGCUGGUCUGAGAGGAUGAUCAGUCACACUGGAACUGAGACACGGUCCAGACUCCUACGGGAGGCAG
rnacentral:rRNA from 1 species